rnacentral:rRNA from 1 species
UACGUAGGGGGCUAGCGUUGUCCGGAAUCAUUGGGCGGAAAGCGCGUGUAGGCGGUCCGGUAAGUCCGCUGUGAAAGUCGGGGGCUCAACCCUCGAAUGCCGGUGGAUACUGUCGGGCUAGAGUGCGGAAGAGGUGAGUGGAAUUCCUGGUGUAGCGGUGAAAUGCGCAGAUAUCAGGAGGAACACCAAUUGCGAAGGCAGCUCGCUGGGACGUAACUGACGCUGAGACGCGAAAGCGUGGGGAGCAAACAGG